AAGAGAGUUUAGUUAAAAAUAACAUUGUCUUGUCAAGCCAAAAUCAUUAGCUAAUUACUAAUAACUCUUC
rnacentral:tRNA from 1 species